ACAACGCGGCUGUGAUUUUUGGACCAAGCCGUGUUGUCGUGUCCCUCCCCAACACACACCUCCCGCUCCACAGCCUCUAGCAGAAAGACAAUCGGACAGCAGCCGCCUCCUUCCCGCCCCCGCCUGCAUGCGUGUGAGCUGACAGCGGAACACAACUCGGGACGGCGACGGGAGGGGCUGGGGGGGGCUGGGAUUUUUUGUUGGUUGGUUUGAUUGGUUUUGCUACAAAAAUAAAUGAGAUCUGUGAACUCGAAGGAAAAACUCACGGAUGCCGACUGAGGACUUGGCUACGUCCCCUCUUCCGCCACGUUUGCUGUUUUGGAGGGUUUCUUUUAUUUUUUGUUCCCCAGUGUGUUUGGUUUUGGGGGUAUUUUUGUUGCUUGAUUAUUUUUUUUUUCCGGAGAGCCAAAUAUAUAUAUAUUAAAAACUCCGCCAGUGGAUGGAGACACACCUAUUGCCUGCUUAUAUAAACAAAUGAGAAGACCCCACCUUGCCCCAUCCCAGCCAUGAGUUCACUACACCACAGUCUAGCAUUCACUGGCUGCUCUGGGCAGAUGUUUUUUUUUCGUUUUUUGGCAGGGGCGUGGGGAGAUGGUGAGCGUCCCCCACUCCCAAAGCAUCAGCGUGCACCGAAAUCCCAGCCAGAAGAGUGAACAGCGUCGCCCCGCCUGAUAUCCACCCCGGGUUGGCCUCUCCGCCUCUCUUCUCCUCCAGUCCCCCUUCCCUGCAACUUUCUUCUUCUCUCCCACUCUGUUUGGCAGCAGAGAUGCCCCCAGUCUCUCCUCUGUUUGGAAGCAGAGGGAUGUCUAUUUUUUUUUUCUGCACAAAACCAGCAAUUGUAUAUACUUUUGAAGAAAAGAAAAAUGUAAAAAAAAAAAAAAAAAAAAAUCAAAAACAAAAAACCCA